GGCGAGACCGCGUACGGCUCAUUAAAUCAGUCGUGGUCCAAAUGGGCCAGUGCUUAUCCUACUUGGAUAACUGUGGUAAUUCCAGAGCUAAUAUAUGCAACUCAUACCCCGACGGCCACUCUCUUGUAGGGUGCGCUGAACGGGUGCUUUUAUUAGACCAAACCGCUGAGGGCGUGUUCUCCGUUUCCGCGGUGCACGCCUGACUCGUUUAAUGGUGACUCUGGAUAACCUUUGACAAGCGCACGUACUCCUCUUUUGAGCGGGACGGCGCUGCCACUUUCGAGUGUCUGCCUUAUCAGCUAUCAACCGUUCGUUAUGUGCGACCGAUGGCUUUGACGGGUAACGGGGAAUCAGGGUUCGAUUCCGGAGAGGCAGCCUGAGAGACGGCUACCACGUCCAAGGACGGCAGCAGGCGCGCAAAUUACCCAAUCCCAGCCUCUGGGGGAGGUAGUGACGAAAUCUAACGAUGCGGGCGCCCUUUCUAGGGCCCCGCAAUCGGAAUGAGCACUUUCUAAACAACCUGUUGAGAACCUACUGGAGGGCAAGUCUGGUGCCAGCAGCCGCGGUAAUUCCAGCUCCAGCAGCAUCUAUUAAAGUUGCUGCGGUUAAAAGGCUCGCAGUUGAAUGUCAGUGUCGGGCGCAGGUCAGGUGGACGUUGGGGCGUGAGAACCAACGCGUGCACGGACGGCGCAGGGUCAGUUCAGUUUCCGCUGUCUGCCCUGUCGUCGCACCGGCCGUGUCUCACAAGCUCCCGUCCGUGACAAGCCUCCUCGCUUGCGCACAUAUCGGAAUCGGUUUCGGAGGCUGCGAAAUGUCAUUGGCUUCGCUCGGUCUUGUCAGUACGGGGCGCUUCGGCGUCGCCAACGCAGGCUUGACUGGGAGUUGUCAGCUGGCUCGCAUGUCCUCUUUGUGGUUUCAGAGUCACCUUGAGUAAAUCAGAGUGCUCAAAGCAGUCGUAGGGGCCUUGCGCCCUGUGAAAAGUCUUGACGGACUGACUGGUUAUGCAUGGCAUGUCGGAAGACGACGUCGCGUGCUGGCUCAGAGAAAUCAGUGGUAUAAGCCAGCCGCGACGUACUGAUUAAAAGGGACGGUCGAGGGCAUUGGUAUUGCGAGGCGAGAGGUGAAAUUCUAUGACCCCCGCAAGACCUCCUGAAGCGAACGCGUCUGCCAAGGA
rnacentral:rRNA from 1 species